rnacentral:ncRNA from 2 species
CGACACCUCACUGGAGAGAGGCCGUGGGCGUCACCCUCAAGCGACGCGACGCGGUCCACCGAAGGGGCAAGCGCUGCGCGAUCCAACCGGAUCCGCUCGGCGUCAAUCUCUCAGGUAAAGCGGACAGCGAGGGCAGC